CUUAUUCGGUGAAUAAAACAUUUGCUAAAACCUGUCAGCUGUUACUGCGUACAACUGGACUUCAAGGCUAGCAAUGAAACUUGGAGGCAAAGUAUUCUGCCUAUAAUCAAUUUUAAAAGGGUGCAAAACCAACUGGGAUCAUAUGCGCCUAAGUCAAAACUAUAGAAUACGAAGAGUAAUUGCACUCAAGUACUACUCUCACAAUCCUGGAAGCAACUGGCGAUCACAAUAAGCACUAUGCCAUUUGUGCUUUUGCAGAAACUCAGAACAUGGGUGAAGGCUGGCUGCUCUGAGAGACUGAGGUGCGGCUUGUUUCCCUGCACCUCUCCACAUCCCUCAGGCAGUUAAAGUUGUUGUUGCCCGCAGCCACUUGUCAUGAAGUAAUAGUUGUAGUUUCUGCAUUAUAGUGAUAGGAGAACAAAACCAGUAAAUAUAUUUGGCCCA